GUGAUCCACCUGGCCUUGCCCUCAGCCCAGUGACAGCUGUUCAGACUGCCAGACCUCUUGCUACCUCAGAGCUUUUCCUUGUGCUGUUCCCCUGCCUGGAUUGACUUCUCUCUCCCUGCUCUGUCUGCUUAAGAACUCAGUCUGUGGGUCCGCUUGACAAGGCAUAUUCUUGAGGAAGCUUGAAUGAAGCUCAAAGUAGACCAGGCAUCCUGGAGCCCGUGCACCUUAAACUUGCCCAGCCUCUGCUGGCCCUGAUCCCUUGUCUCUCAGGACACAGCUCAAAUACCAUCUCCUCCAGCUCACCUCACGGCUCCCGGAUUCAAGUGAUUCUCCUGCCUCAGCCUCUCGAGUAGCUGGGAUUACAGGCGCCCACCAC